rnacentral:rRNA from 1 species
AUUGAACGCUGGCGGCAUGCCUAACACAUGCAAGUCGAACGGCAGCACUAUCUAGCUUGCUAGAGAGGUGGCGAGUGGCGCACGGGUGAGUAACGCGUAGGAAUAUACCUUAAAGAGGGGGAUAACUUGGGGAAACUCAAGCUAAUACCGCAUAAACUCUGAGGAGAGAAGCUGGGGACCGCAAGGCCUGGCGCUUUAAGAUUAGCCUGCGUCCGAUUAGCUAGUUGGUGGGGUAAGGGCUUACCAAGGCGACGAUCGGUAGCUGGUCUGGAGGGACGAUCAGCCACACUGGGAAUGAGACACGGCCCAGACUCCUGCGGGAGGCAGCAGUGGGGAAUAUUGGACAAUGGGGGGAACCCUGAUCCAGCAAUGCCGCGUGUGUGAAGAAGGCCUGAGGGUUGUAAAGCACUUUCAGUGGGGAGGAGGAUUGACUGGUUAAGAGCUGGUUAAUUGGACGUUACCCACAGAAGAAGCACCGGCUAACUCCGUGCCAGCCGCCGCCGUAA